rnacentral:rRNA from 1 species
GUGAGUGGCGGACGGGUGAGUAACACGUGGGUAACCUGCCCUAAAGUGGGGGAUAACAUUUGGAAACACAUGCUAAUACCGCAUAAAACCUAACACCGCAUGGUGUAGGGUUGAAAGAUGGUUUCGGCUAUCACUUUAGGAUGGACCCGCGGUGCAUUAGUUAGUUGGUGAGGUAAAGGCUCACCAAGACCGUGAUGCAUAGCCGACCUGAGAGGGUAAUCGGCCACACUGGGACUGAGACACGGCCCAGACUCCUACGGGAGGCAGCAGUAGGGAAUCUUCCACAAUGGACGAAAGUCUGAUGGAGCAACGCCGCGUGAGUGAAGAAGGUUUUCGGAUCGUAAAACUCUGUUGUUGGAGAAGAAUGUAUCUGAUAGUAACUGAUCAGGUAGUGACGGUAUCCAACCAGAAAGCCACGGCUAACUACGUGCCAGCAGCCGCGGUAAUACGUAGGUGGCAAGCGUUGUCC